rnacentral:rRNA from 1 species
CCCUUAGAUGUUCUGGGCCGCACGCGUGCUACACUGAGUGGAUCAGCGGGUCAGGUUGCGCGAAAGUGUUUCCUAAUCUUUAAAUCCGCUCGUGAUGGGGAUUGACGGUUGCAAUUUUCCGUCAUGAACGAGGAAUACCUUGUAAGCGCGGGUCAUCAUCCCGCGCUGAAUACGUCCCUGCCCUUUGUACACACCGCCCGUCGCUCCUACCGAUUGAGUGGUCCGGUGAGGCUUUGGGAUCUGAGCGGAAAGAGCGUUUCGCUGUUUCUGCCCGGAAAGCUCAGUCGAGCCUUAUCAUUUAGAGGAAGGAGAAGUCGUAACA